GUAGUCCACGCCGUAAACGAUGGAUACUAGCUGUUGGGCUUUACGGCUCAGUGGCUAAGCGAAAGUGAUAAGUAUCCCACCUGGGGAGUACGAACGCAAGUUUGAAACUCAAAGGAAUUGACGGGGGCCCGCACAAGCGGUGGAGCAUGUGGUUUAAUUCGAUGAUACGCGAGGAACCUUACCAAGGCUUAAAUGGGAAACGACAGGCGUGGAAACAUGCCCUUCUUCGGACGUUUUUCAAGGUGCUGCAUGGUUGUCGUCAGCUCGUGCCGUGAGGUGUCAGGUUAAGUCCUAUAACGAGCGCAACCCCUGUUGUUAGUUGCCAGCGAGUCAAGUCGGGAACUCUAACAAGACUGCCAGUGCAAACUGUGA
rnacentral:rRNA from 1 species